CGCACGGAUAGAGAUGGAGGUCGGGAUUCCCUUUCUCAAGGCAGCACCGCGGCAAUUCAAUGAGCGAGACUUGCACUCAAUAGUAUUACAAUGAAAGCAGUAGUGGCACUCCCCAUACUUAGAUGGUCCGGGCCUUUGAGCUCCAUGCAAAUUCGCCUUUCAAAGUUGCAAAACACAAUCCCUAGCGUAACAAUCCACUUGAUGCAUUUUUUUGGACUAAUGAGUAUAGGACGUAAUUAGAGGUGGUGGGCGCCUAUAUACAUACCACUUCAAACGGUCUUUGUUUGGUUGCCGAAUGAUAAGUGGUACAAUACCACUAUUCUGCCCAUGGUAACCAACGUACCCAUUCCCUUGGUCUAUCGCUUGUAAAGCAUCCCAGGUAGUUCUCUAAGCACCGGUUAACCACCUCCC